rnacentral:tRNA from 1 species
GCGGGCGUGGUGGAAUCGGUAGACACGCUAGACUUAGGAUCUAGUGCCGCAAGGUGUGAGAGUUCGAGUCUCUCCGCCCGCACAA